rnacentral:rRNA from 1 species
AUGAACGCUGGCGGCGUGCCUAAUACAUGCAAGUCGAGCGAACAGAUAAGGAGCUUGCUCCUUUGACGUUAGCGGCGGACGGGUGAGUAACACGUGGAUAACCUACCUAUAAGACUGGGAUAACUUCGGGAAACCGGAGCUAAUACCGGAUAACAUAUUGAACCGCAUGGUUCAAUAGUGAAAGGCGGCUUUGCUGUCACUUAUAGAUGGAUCCGCGCCGUAUUAGCUAGUUGGUAAGGUAACGGCUUACCAAGGCAACGAUACGUAGCCGACCUGAGAGGGUGAUCGGCCACACUGGAACUGAGACACGGUCCAGACUCCUACGGGAGGCAGCAGUAGGGAAUCUUCCGCAAUGGGCGAAAGCCUGACGGAGCAACGCCGCGUGAGUGAUGAAGGUCUUCGGAUCGUAAAACUCUGUUAUCUGGGAAGAACAAAUGUGUAAGUAACUGUGCACAUCUUGACGGUACCUGAUCAGAAAGCCACGGCUAACUACGUG